AUUACAAAUUCGCUAUUUUUUUGACCGUCAGCUGGCUACUUUCAGUAAUUUGUAUCUGGCAACCGUGCUCAAGACGACACAUUAAACACUUAGAGCUUGUGUGACCGUCAGCGGUAACACGUCACACGGGCUCACCAUAGCCCGUGCUGCAUGGACACUUCGUCCUGGGGAGGUAAAUCUCUAACAACAACAACAGGUAACACGUCACCAUAGCUACACUACGCGUGCAGUCAUCUACAUGUGCACUUGUUAACGGCACACUUGGAAAGUCCCCUGGUUCCAUUGCUGUGGCAGAACAGAAGCAACAUACCCUUUCACCAUAUGCCUCUGUUCACCUAGCAGUUAACAGAGUUGUUGCAGUAAAAUAAACAAAAAAAGGAAGAAAUCAUAUUUUUAUCAUGGAGAAUAUUCAUAACAUGAAGAAUUGUGGUUGGGUAACAGAAGAGCCAAUAAAAUUGAAAGAAUACUUCAGUGAAUAUCACACUUUACUGGAUAGUGUUUGUGGUCUUCCUCACAAUGAGAAGUUACUGAUCACUAGUUCCUUGGCGUCGCUUUAACUUUGCACCCGUUCUACAAGAUGUAACCAAAGUUCUCGGUGUACAGCUGCUGCUCUCGGAUGCUCAUUGACAAUCCAAGGCUACACUCGAUGGCUACUUAAGGCAGAUUCCUUGGCUUCUCUUCAGCUCUAUCAUCCAUUUGGAGGCCAACAUGAGAUGGAGACCAAGGCCCGGGAAAGGUGAUCUACUCGGCAAAAGGUCGACACACGCUUUGACUGGAUCAGGUAUCAUUUACAUGGUCAAGAAUAGACAUUAUCUUCGGAUCCUACAAGCACAGUGCGGGACGCACGCCUACCCUAGCCUGGGGCCAAGCCCGGCCCGUGCCCCAGUGACCAGGCAAGACUUCUCCAGGAUGCUUCGCGCCGCCAUCGCAGUGCUAGGCUCGCCUCCAGCUGAUUACGCCCCUCACUCCUUUAGAAUUGGCAGGGCCACUUGGUUGUCUCUCCACUCGUCUCGGUACACGUGUCGUUGCUGCUCCUUCUCAGGAUGUAGCUUCCCGCUUGGCUGCCUUAUCCUGCCUUGGCGAGAUCCCUGUUCGGGUCUCAAAGAACGCUCGGUUGAAUGCCAGUGU
rnacentral:lncRNA from 1 species